AUUGAACGCUGGCGGAAUGCUUUACACAUGCAAGUCGGGCGGCAGCGCGGGGGCAAUCCUGGCGGCGAGCGGCGAACGGGUGAGUAACACAUCGGAACGUACCCUGUCGUGGGGGAUAACGAAUCGAAAGAUUCGCUAAUACCGCAUACGACCUGAGGGUGAAAGCGGGGGAUCGCAAGACCUCGCGCGAGAGGAGCGGCCGAUGGCGGAUUAGCUAGUUGGUGGGGUAAAGGCCCACCAAGGCGACGAUCCGUAGCGGGUCUGAGAGGACGGCCCGCCACACUGGGACUGAGACACGGCCCAGACUCCUACGGGAGGCAGCAGUGGGGAAUUUUGGACAAUGGGGGCAACCCUGAUCCAGCCAUUCCGCGUGAGUGAAGAAGGCCUU
rnacentral:rRNA from 1 species